GACGAACCGUCCAAACGUUAUUCGGAAUCACUGGGCUUAAAGAGUCCGUAGGCGGCAUGUUAGGUGAGGUGUGAAAUCCCCCGGCUCAACCGAGGAAUUGCGCUUCAAACCGGCGUGCUUGAGGAAGAUAGAGGUGGGCGGAACUGAUGGUGGAGCGGUGAAAUGCGUUGAUAUCAUCAGGAACACCGGAGGCGAAAGCGGCCCACUGGGUCUUUUCUGACGCUGAGGGACGAAAGCUAGGGGAGCGAACGGG
rnacentral:rRNA from 1 species